CUCAUGUCCCAAACCAUCCACCAAAAUACCACAAUAAAAUAUAACCACUGCACUUUAUAGAUCGUCACUGCCAAAAAUUAUGUGGAUGCAUCCUUUUUUGUGUUAACUACAUAAAAAAUAAUAAUAAUAAUAAGAAAGCACAACAAUUUGUAUAUACACAAAUCACAAAACCGAUGCAGUUAAUUAAUAGAGGAAAGACUAAUGGUGGUGGUGGUAUAUUGCUGAAACAAGGCCUUCAUCAGGCAACAUUUAAUCGUCCUUGUACUCUUUAGCAGGCCGUGCUUCAAAGCCACCCCCUUCUCUCUUCUCAAGUGAGUAAGGCAUAUAUGUUCCAAGAAUUCUAUCCCACAUGACAAAGAAUGGCUGUGAAAAGUUGUAUUUGCUUCCGUAAAGCUGAUGAUGGACAUCAUGAUAAGCAGUAUUAUUUUUAAAGAACAUGUGGAAAAGAUUCCCAGGAAGCCAUAACCCACAAUGGUCAUCCACUGUUUUGAUGGUGGCAAAUGAGAAGAAGAAAAUGGAGGCUCGAGGAGACAUCCCAGAGAAGAGAAAAGAUAAGGCCCCACCAAUUGUGUCAAGCAGAAGCCCCUCCAGUGGAUGAUUGUAUAGAGCUCCGAACGCAUAGGGGACAACAAGCCGAUGAUGUUGAGAAUGAAUAUGCCUAUAUAGAAACUUGUUGUGAUGCAUGUAUCUAUGCAUGAAAUACUGCCAAGUAUCCAAAACCAACAUAGCCAUAACAAACUGUCUAGCUAGAACAAUUAGGGAAGGUUGUUGAUCUAUAGCAGCCUGAGAAUCAUUUGCAGUUACCGUAAACAAGAGGAUAGCAACAACAGCUUGUAUAGAUUGUUGAAGAAGAACGCCUUUCACAACAGUGGCUUUGGAGACCAAAUUUUUCUCAUCCUCAUCCUGCUUGGUGUGCAAUCUAUAAUUUUCAAAGUAUCCUAAUCCAACAUACAACCCCGAAUAAACCCAGUAGACAAGAAUUGGGACAAAAGUACCCAACAGUUCAUCAGAAAUUUGAAAACCCAUGUUGCCAAAUAACAUCAGUGAAAGCAUAAAACAACCAACCAGCAAGGAAAGUGUAUGUUUUUUUUCUACGAAAAUACUGAUGAUUAUUACUAUAUAUAAUAAAAGAUGGGUUGUAGUUGAGGAGGUGGGAUCACGUAAUUCAAAUUAGGGUUUGAAUGGGAGAAGAAGAUUCCACAUAGUCAUUGGAACCGAAGAGGAGGGACAGAGAGGAAAAAUUAGAUAGAGACAGAAAAGAAAAAUCAACCCACGAGCUGGGGGGAGAUUGGAGAGGUUCGAUUUUUUAUAUUUU
rnacentral:misc_RNA from 1 species